rnacentral:rRNA from 1 species
GUACCGUGAGGGAAAGGCGAAAAGAACCCCGGCGAGGGGAGUGAAAAAGAACCUGAAACCGUGUACGUACAAGCAGUGGGAGCACCCUUUGGGGUGUGACUGCGUACCUUUUGUAUAAUGGGUCAGCGACUUAUAUUCUGUAGCAAGGUUAACCGUAUAGGGGAGCCGGAGGGAAACCGAGUCUUAACCGGGCGUUAAGUUGCAGGGUAUAGACCCGAAACCCGGUGAUCUAGCCAUGGGCAGGUUGAAGGUUGGGUAACACUAACUGGAGGACCGAACCGACUAAUGUUGAAAAAUUAGCGGAUGACCUGUGGCUGGGGGUGAAAGGCCAAUCAAACCGGGAGAUAGCUGGUUCUCCCCGAAAGCUAUUUAGGUAGCGCCUCGUGAAUUCAUCUCCGGGGGUAGAGCACUGUUUCGGCUAGGGGGCCAUCCCGGCUUACCAACCCGAUGCAAACUGCGAAUACCGGAGAAUGUUAUCACGGGAGACACACGGCGGGUGCUAACGUCCGUCGUGAAGAGGGAAACAACCCAGACCGCCAGCUAAGGUCCCAAAGUCAUGGUUAAGUGGGAAACGAUGUGGGAAGGCCCAGACAGCCAGGAUGUUGGCUUAGAAGCAGCCAUCAUUUAAAGAAAGCGUAAUAGCUCACUGGUCGAGUCGGCCUGCGCGGAAGAUGUAACGGGGCUAAACCAUGCACCGAAGCUGCGGCAGCGACGCUGAUGCGUUGUUGGGUAGGGGAGCGUUCUGUAAGCCUGCGAAGGUGGCCUGUGAGGGUUGCUGGAGGUAUCAGAAGUGCGAAUGCUGACAUAAGUAACGAUAAAGCGGGUGAAAAGCCCGCUCGCCGGAAGACCAAGGGUUCCUGUCCAACGUUAAUCGGGGCAGGGUGAGUCGACCCCUAAGGCGAGGCCGAAAGGCGUAGUCGAUGGGAAACGGGUUAAUAUUCCCGUACUUGGUGUUACUGCGAAGGGGGGACGGAGAAGGCUAUGUUGGCCGGGCGACGGUUGUCCCGGUUUAAGCGUGUAGGUGUGUGUUCCAGGUAAAUCCGGUUCACUUUAACACUGAGGCGUGAUGACGAGGCACUACGGUGCUGAAGCAACAAAUGCCCUGCUUCCAGGAAAAGCCUCUAAGCAUCAGGUAACAUCAAAUCGUACCCCAAACCGACACAGGUGGUCAGGUAGAGAAUACCAAGGCGCUUGAGAGAACUCGGGUGAAGGAACUAGGCAAAAUGGUGCCGUAACUUCGGGAGAAGGCACGCUGACACGUAGGUGAAGUGAUUUACUCAUGGAGCUGAAGUCAGUCGAAGAUACCAGCUGGCUGCAACUGUUUAUUAAAAACACAGCACUGUGCAAACACGAAAGUGGACGUAUACGGUGUGACGCCUGCCCGGUGCCGGAAGGUUAAUUGAUGGGGUCAGCGCAAGCGAAGCUCCUGAUCGAAGCCCCGGUAAACGGCGGCCGUAACUAUAACGGUCCUAAGGUAGCGAAAUUCCUUGUCGGGUAAGUUCCGACCUGCACGAAUGGCGUAAUGAUGGCCAGGCUGUCUCCACCCGAGACUCAGUGAAAUUGAACUCGCUGUGAAGAUGCAGUGUACCCGCGGCAAGACGGAAAGACCCCGUGAACCUUUACUAUAGCUUGACACUGAACAUUGAGCCUUGAUGUGUAGGAUAGGUGGGAGGCUUUGAAGUGUGGACGCCAGUCUGCAUGGAGCCGACCUUGAAAUACCACCCUUUAAUGUUUGAUGUUCUAACGUGGACCCGUGAUCCGGGUUGCGGACAGUGUCUGGUGGGUAGUUUGACUGGGGCGGUCUCCUCCUAAAGAGUAACGGAGGAGCACGAAGGUUGGCUAAUCCUGGUCGGACAUCAGGAGGUUAGUGCAAUGGCAUAAGCCAGCUUGACUGCGAGCGUGACGGCGCGAGCAGGUGCGAAAGCAGGUCAUAGUGAUCCGGUGGUUCUGAAUGGAAGGGCCAUCGCUCAACGGAUAAAAGGUACUCCGGGGAUAACAGGCUGAUACCGCCCAAGAGUUCAUAUCGACGGCGGUGUUUGGCACCUCGAUGUCGGCUCAUCACAUCCUGGGGCUGAAGUAGGUCCCAAGGGUAUGGCUGUUCGCCAUUUAAAGUGGUACGCGAGCUGGGUUUAGAACGUCGUGAGACAGUUCGGUCCCUAUCUGCCGUGGGCGCUGGAGAACUGAGGGGGGCUGCUCCUAGUACGAGAGGACCGGAGUGGACGCAUCACUGGUGUUCGGGUUGUCAUGCCAAUGGCACUGCCCGGUAGCUAAAUGCGGAAGAGAUAAGUGCUGAAAGCAUCUAAGCACGAAACUUGCCCCGAGAUGAGUUCUCCCUGAGACUUUAGGUCUCCUGAAGGAACGU